rnacentral:lncRNA from 1 species
UGUGUGUUUUGAUUUGAUUCUGAGAAAAUAAAUUCAUUUAAUAGAUUUAUUUCAUUAACAGGUAUUUAUUUAAGGGAGCACCACUGUAUUUAAAUCUCCUAACAGUUUCCACUUACUUCUUCCUUAGCUGGCUUGCUUCGUGUUGACUAAUUUAAAUAAGCCUACGGUGUCUAGGGUCUUAUUGAGUGUUCAGUUUGAUCAAUACGGUUAAAUUAAAAUUGUGCAAAAUAUAAGCAAAUGUAGUCUAACAACACAGUGAAAAAUGGACUGGGCACUGGGCAUUGAUUGGUGUGCUGAGGGUGGGCUGUGUGGGGCAAGGGGGAGCUUCUGAGGUACCAGGAAGCUGCCAGAGUCCUCUGAACUUCUUGCUGGUUUCAGACAGAGUCAGGGCAUCCCUCCUGCACAAGGGCCCCAGCACAGUCCGCCCUCUGAUAAGAAGGAAAGGCAUUUACACCAGGUGUUUUCCCUUUGGAUUUAAUGGAAAGUAGACUGUAAGGCUAGCAGUGAAAUCCUUUAUGAAGAGAAGGGAACCAGCUUUAGCUCUUUUAAAAGUCCACUUUCCACCAUUGCUGAAAUGCUUUAGGCAAUAAAGGAAUGCAGGCUCCAGUUGUUUUCCGUGGAAUAACUUCUUACUUAAUUGUGAUUGUUCUUCUAUCUUAAUCAUCCGGUUAGCUUUUGUUCUUUGUUGAAGUCUUUAUUUUUAAAGUUGGAUUUUGCAAGCUACCAAA